GCCUAACACAUGCAAGUCGAACGAGAAGGCAGAACCAAAUGCUUCGGUGUGCGGUUUUGCUGGGGAGUGGCGAACGGGUGAGUAACACGUGGGUGACCUGCCUCGAAGAGGGGGAUAACCAUUGGAAACGAUGGCUAAUACCGCAUGGUCCUGUUGGUAUGGGAAUAUUGACAGGUAAAGCUCCGGCGCUUCGAGAGGGGCCUGCGUCCGAUUAGUUAGUUGGUGAGGUAACGGCUCACCAAGGCGAUGAUCGGUAGCUGGUCUGAGAGGACGAUCAGUCACACGGGAACUGAGACACGGUCCCGACUCCUACGGGGGGCAGCAGUGAGGAAUAUUGCACAAUGGGGGCAACCCUGAUGCAGCAACGUCGCGUGGAGGAUGAAGGUCUUUGGAUUGUAAACUCCUUUUUUCGGGGAAGAGGAAGGACGGUACCCGAAGAAUAAGUCACGGCUAACUACGUGCCAGCAGCCGCGGUAAUACGUAGGUGGCGAGCGUUAUCCGGAAUUACUGGGCGUAAAGGGCACGCAGGCGGCUGGGCAAGUCUGACGUGAAAGCUCCCGGCUAAACUGGGAGAGGUCGUUGGAAACUGCUUGGCUUGAGGUAAUG
rnacentral:rRNA from 1 species